rnacentral:rRNA from 1 species
CCUACGGGCGGCAGCAGUAGGGAAUCUUCCACAAUGGGCGAAAGCCUGAUGGAGCAACGCCGCGUGGGUGAAGAAGGUCUUCGGAUCGUAAAACCCUGUUGUUAGAGAAGAAAGUGCGUGAGAGUAACUGUUCACGUUUCGACGGUAUCUAACCAGAAAGCCACGGCUAACUACGUGCCAGCAGCCGCGGUAAUACGUAGGUGGCAAGCGUUAUCCGGAUUUAUUGGGCGUAAAGGGAACGCAGGCGGUCUUUUAAGUCUGAUGUGAAAGCCUUCGGCUUAACCGGAGUAGUGCAUUGGAAACUGGGAGGCUUGAGUGCAGAAGAGGGGAGUGGAACUCCAGGUGUAGCGGUGAAAUGCGUAGAUAUAUGGAAGAACACCAGUGGCGAAAGCAGCACUCUGGUCUGUAACUGACGCUGAGGUUCGAAAGCGUGGGUAGCAAACAGGAUUAGAUACCCUAGUAGUC